rnacentral:misc_RNA from 1 species
GUAGGUGAACCUGCGGAAGGAUCAUUAACACGUUCCACGUAUCAAACCCGCGCACUCGUUUUCACUCUGAUUAAGCUCCAGUUUAGUACCUGUAAACCUCGCAUUUCAGUCCGCAUAGAUAAGGAAACAGGCUGUAUAAGCCUGGCGGCUGGCGAUUGGAUUAUGUCCUCAUUCGAAAGAAUGAGGGAGGCGCUGGAUGUCUGGUCAUGUUUCUAUUCCUUAUCGCUUUUUCACAAUCAUUUACCCCAUU